UUGGCCUCCCAAAGUGCUGAUAGCCAACUAACAGGUUUACUUCCUGAGAGGCUAAAAAUACAUUACUAUGAAUAUCACGCAAUGCCACGGCACAGACGUCCAAGGAGAGCAUUUCAGUGAAGCUCUAGAAUUGUUUCUUAUGUAAGGUAUCCUUACAGGAGGGAGGCAGGAGCAGAUUUGGCUGCAGAAGAGGAAAAGGCAAUGUAACCACAGAAACAGAGACUGGAGUCAUACAGCUACCACCCAAGAACACCGGCAGGCAGCCACCAGAAGAUGGAAGGGGCAAGGAACAGAUUCUCCCCGGAAACCUCCAGAAGGAUCCAACCCUGUUGAUACCUGGAUUUUAUUCCUAUAUAACUCAUUUUGAAUUUAUACUUAAUUGUAAUUGUUCUGGCUUCCAGAACUGUAAAAACAAAACAAA